GUUGAAACAGACGUUCCCUUUCGAUCACCGAAGUUAAGCAACGUCGAGCCCGGCCAGUACCUAGAUGGGUGAACGCUUGAGUAUACCAAAUGCUGUAAG